rnacentral:lncRNA from 1 species
AGCCAUGGACAGGCUUACUUCCUCAUUCCUACUGCUGCUUGUCCCUGCAUAUGUCCUGGCCCAGGUUACUCUGAAAGAGUCUGGCCCUGGGAUAUUGCAGCCCUCCCAGACCCUCAGUCUGACUUGCACUUUCUCUGGGUUUUCACUGAGCACUUAUGGUAUGGGUGUGGGCUGGAUUCGUCAGCCUUCAGGGAAGGGUCUGGAGUGGCUGGCAAACAUUUGGUGGGAUGAUGAUAAGUACUACAAUCCAUCUCUGAAAAACCGGCUCACAAUCUCCAAGGACACCUCCAACAACCAAGCAUUCCUCAAGAUCACCAAUGUGGACACUGCAGAUACUGCCACAUACUACUGUGCUCGGAUAGC